GGAGUUUGGACCGUCUCUCAGCUCCCCUAGACAUCGUCGGCUUGGUGGGCCGUUGCCCCGCCGACUACCUAAUCAGACGCAUCCCCAUCCCAUAGCGGUGAACCUUUGUUCCGAAUCAGAUGUCAUCCUCGGAAUACAUAGGGGAUUAAUCCGCAUUUCUACGGGCUAUGCCCUACUAUGGGGAAGGUUGGAUACGCGUUACUCACCCGUGCGCCGGUCGCCAUCUAUCAAAGCAAGCUUCGAUAAUGCUGCCCCUCGACUUGCAUGUGUUAAGCCUGUAGCUAGCGUUCAUC
rnacentral:rRNA from 1 species